UGUAUAAUUUUUUUAACUGGCAUAAUUUUUUACAGAUGUUUAUCUAAAAAUAGUAGUGCCAUUGUUGAAAUAGAAGUCAAUAGAAUAAUUUGUCUAGAACUAUUUAAAGAUUUCAAAGAUUUGGGUAGAUUUAUGUUAAGGUCUGGUGGUUCAACUGUAGCUGCUGGUUUAGUGACAGAAAUCAAGUAGCAUUAAAUCUUUUGGUUAAUGCUUAUUGAAAUGAAUACCUGGCGAUAACGAUACUCAUUUAAGUACAUUUGGAUAUUUUGUAAUAUAUUUUUAUUAUUCAAUUGUUAAAUUUGCAAAUAUUUUGCAUCAAUAAAAAAAUAUUAAAAUCUU